rnacentral:snRNA from 1 species
AUCGCUUCUCGGCCUUUUGGCUGAGAUCAAGUGUAGUAUCUGUUCUUAUCAGUUUAAAAUGCCAAUAUUUUCCACGAUCUCAUCAUAAUCUAGUUCCUUACUUCCU